rnacentral:misc_RNA from 1 species
AACGCACAUUGCGCCCGUUAGUAUUCUGAUGGGCAUGCCUGUUCGAGCGUCAUUUCAACCCUCAAGCCCAGCUUGGUGUUGGGGCACUACGGCCCUGCCGUAGGCUCCGAAAAUUAGUGGCGGGUCACCUGUAAUCCCGAGCGCAGUAGUUACUUCUCGCUUAGGGCGUUGCGGGGGAUUCUUGCCGUAAAACUCCCACUUCUAAAAGGUUGACCUCGGAUCAGGUAGGACUACCCGCUGAACUUAA